rnacentral:rRNA from 1 species
AUUGAACGCUGGCGGCAGGCCUAACACAUGCAAGUCGAGCGGAUGAAGAGAGCUUGCUCUCUGAUUUAGCGGCGGACGGGUGAGUAAUGCCUAGGAAUCUGCCUGGUAGUGGGGGAUAACGUUCCGAAAGGAACGCUAAUACCGCAUACGUCCUACGGGAGAAAGCAGGGGACCUUCGGGCCUUGCGCUAUCAGAUGAGCCUAGGUCGGAUUAGCUAGUUGGUGAGGUAAUGGCUCACCAAGGCGACGAUCCGUAACUGGUCUGAGAGGAUGAUCAGUCACACUGGAACUGAGACACGGUCCAGACUCCUACGGGAGGCAGCAGUGGGGAAUAUUGGACAAUGGGCGAAAGCCUGAUCCAGCCAUGCCGCGUGUGUGAAGAGGUCUUCGGAUUGUAAAGCACUUUAAGUUGGGAGGAAGGGCAGUAAGUUAAUACCUUGCUGUUUUGACGUUACCGACAGAAUAAGCACCGGCUAACUUCGUGCCAGCCGCCGCAGUAACAC